UGCAGCUGUGUCAAAUUCAGUGCCCGCCCCACCCACGGCUGGCACAGGGACACUGUAACUCAUGGGCUCUGUUCCUCUAUGCUGAGCCUCAGGGAUAAAUUUUGUUACAGACAUUG
rnacentral:snoRNA from 1 species